AGUAACUGGCAUUUGGUUAUGGGGUGGCUGUUUUUCUACGUGGAACAAGCAGGGUCCCAGUUCAAGUUUCUGCUGCGUAUCUGAUAAUCUUGAGGUAUUUAUGAAGGACUCCUUUGAAAGUUCUCUACUGAGUUUCCUUAAGGAAUUCCUUAAGGAAUCCUUAAGGUAUCUGGAAACAAGGAAGGGAAAAAGUAUUUCACUGAAAAGGCAGAAGACUGGCAUCAACUGCAAGCUGUGGAAUCAAGACAACUUUGGCUGAGUCCCAUUUUAUAUAGGACAAAAGGAGAGUGCUGUCCUCAAGGGCAAUAAUGCUUAUGAGAACAAAGAAGACUAUGGAGAAAUUUUAGGCAGUAGAAGAGAGCAGAAAGGCCAAGAGGAUCAGGGUUGAAUAUUCAAUCCAGGUUUAAGUCCUUCAGCAUCUGACAUUCUCCUGGCAACUGUAAUUCAAUCAAUGAUGACUCAUCUGAGAUGAGCAAGUUGGUCCAGUCAGACCAAACAAAAGACACUCUAUAAUCAGGGGAGAAGUCUUCUCUAUAUCUUUCUUAUAUGAGCAAUAUUGAACAGCACACUGGAGUUUUUGUCCAGAAGUUUGACUUUAGAAGAUAAGAAAUAACUGAGCGUAUUACAAGCAGGAGUUAGAGGAAGAGACUCAGUACAGAAGAGACAGGAACAAAAGUUCACCUCCAUUAGAUGGGAAAGGAUACAGAUCAAGAGCUCAGG
rnacentral:antisense_RNA from 1 species